ensembl:lncRNA
ACCUGUUCUAUAUUUUUCCCACCCAUACCCAACAACCCAGCAAGUUUACACCCAGGCUCCUUCCCAGCAAUUAUUUCCCUCUCCCUCAGCUCUUCCAUUACCCCUGACUCCCCACAGCCUUUGAACUGCUUAUAGGGGGUGCAGGAAAUAUGGUUCUGUAUUGUAGUUUACAUGAAUUAUUAGUCAGAGUUCCAUAUAAAUAUGCUGGUAAGGAAUCUAUUUGUCAAAAAACAUUUUCUGAAUCUUUUUUGUUGUCUGUAUUGUUCCAGACAUACUUGCUGGCAGGUAUUUUGAAAUAAAUGACCAAAAAUAAUUGUGUUAUUUUGACAAAUAAAAUAUGCAGAAUUUUGCAGAAUUUGAAAAUAUUGUGCGCAGAAUUCCCCCAGGAGUAACGUUUUUAAUAUGUAAUAUGUAUUUAUUCAAUACACUUUUAUAGUACAAUAAUAGAUUAUGAAAUCAGUUAGUUCAACUGUUCAUUUUCAGGGUUUAAACCUUCGAUUCUCCCUUUGGGGUGUCUGGACCCUGAUUGGCAAACUACUUACUGGAAAAAGGACAGGGCAUAUGUCAAAGUGGGGCUGGAACACUCAUGACUUUUGGCCAGGAACUGAUGCGCUAAGGGGUUCACAUUAUGUAGCAACCAUAUGAAUCCAUGGCAACCACAGUGUCAUUCUGAAGUCUUAGACCUACUGUAGCCAUAGACUGGAAUAAUGUAAGAAAACAAAAGCAGAAGAAUUGUUUGUAUCAAUCUUCAGCAAUAUUUUAAAAAGUAGAUUUUUUUUGCCAUUAAAGAGAUUAUUUGCAUUUCAUAUAUAAACAAUGGAAAUGGUAACUUCACAAGGAUUGCCUAAAUGUUUUAAAUUAAAAUUUUCUAUCUGUAUAAAUUAACUUGAAGAAUUAAGUUUAAAGAUUAGCAGUCUGUAAAAAGCAUGCUGCAGCAAAUGAAAUAUUAAAUAUAUUUUCAAAUUAUCAGAUUUUCUUUUAAAAUACCACAAUAUGUAUAUGCAAGAGGGCAUGAUUUUUUCCUCAUCAGCAAAUAAGAGAGCUUUAUAAACCAGUGGCUUAAAAUUUUAAUGUAAGUGCUGGAAGUGGAAAAUACUUUCCAUAUAAACAGUAAAUAAUUAAAAAGGAUUUUCUCACAAAAAAAGUGGAAAAUCUGACUUUAAAUCAGUGUGAAAAUAUGAAUCAUGAUCUGCAUGAACCUGAGGGCAUUACUCUUUUGAGAAAAUAUUUACAUAAGCAUAUUUAUGAGCCUGUUUUGGGAUUUGUUAUGCAUUAGAUGGAGAGUAUACUAUGCAGCAAGUAGUAUAAGAAAAUUAAUACAUGUAAACAUGUUUUGCACUAUAAACUAUUCUAUAUAUUGGUGGGGUUGAGGUGAGUUUAUAGUUGCUUGGGGGAACUGACAUGGGGAAAUACCAUAUACCCACUAUACGAUUGACCACAUAUUCAUAAAUGCAGGUUACAUAAACUCAUCUGUCACAUAGCACGGUAAUUUCAAUAGCCUAUCCUCACAUUUCCACUGCACAUCUAACCACCAUUUGCAUUAUGCAGUCUUCUCUAUUCAAAAUGUAGUCAAUCUGUCUUUUCUCUUUUUUGGCCAUACAUUUUAAAAUGGAAAAUGCCAAAAAAAUAUAUUGUGUAACAUAAAAUUUUGUUUCAAAAUAACCCACAAUACCUGAAGACAUAGGGGAAUAAUCUACUUGCUAAAAUCAUUUUUUUAAAAGACCCUGAAAAUAUCGGUACAAAAAUUCAUGUAAUACAUUAUCUUAAUUUAUUUUUGAUUUAGAAUAAAUAAAAAGUACUUAUAUGCCCUACCA